UUGGGGGUGAAAUUUUGGAGGCUUUUGGGGGAAAAUCCUGGAAAUUUGGGGGUGAAAUCUCAGCAGUUUUAGGGACAAAUCCCAAAAAAUUUGGGGCUGAAAUUUCAGAGAUUUGGGAAUUAAAUCUCCACAGUUUUAGGGAAAAACCUCCGAGAUUUGGGGGUGAAAUCCUGGGGGAUUUGGGGACAAAUCCCAGAAAAUUUGGGGCUGAAAUUUCAGAGGUUUUGGGGGAAAAUCCUGGAAAUUUGGGGCUGAAACCCCACAGAUUUGGGAAUUAAAUCCCCACAGUUUGGGGGAAAAUCUCCGAGAUUUGGGGGUGAAAUCCUGGAGGUUUUGGGGGAAAAUCCUGGAAAUUUGGGGCUGAAAUCCCCACAGAUUUGGGAAUUAAAUCCCCACAGUUUUGGGAACAAAUCCUGGGGUUUUGGGGGAAAACCUCAGAGAUUUGGGAAUUAAAUCCCCACAGUUUUGGGGAAAAACCUCCGAGAUUUGGGGCUGAAAUCCUGGGGGAUUUGAGGACAAAUCCCAGAAAAUUUGGGGCUGAAAUUUCAGGGAUUUUGGGGGAAAAUCCUGGAAAUUUGGGGCUGAAAUCCUCCCAGAUUUGGGGAUGAAAUCCCAGCAGUUUUGGGAACAAAUCCUGGGGUUUUGGGGGAAAACCUCAGAGAUUUGGGAAUUAAAUCUCCACAGUUUUGGGGGAAAAUCCUGGAAAUUUGGGGCUGAAAUCCUCACAGAUUUGGGAAUUAAAUCUCCACAGUUUUGGGGGAAAAUUUCAGAGAUUUGGGGGUGAAAUCCUGGAAGUUUUGGGGGAAAAUCCUGGAAAUUUGGGGGUGAAAUCCUCACAGAUUUGGGGAUGAAAUCCCCACAGUUUUGGGAAAAAAUCCUGGGGUUUUGGGG